GCUCUUACAACUUUAUUAUUUUAAAACUAUCCUACACCUAGUAAACGGAGAGAGAUUUAUCUCAUUAUAUUAAUGUGAAGGACAAAAAUUUGUCACUCCCAUGAACUUAAUUAUAUUAUUGCCAUUCAGACUGAAACGUGUAACAGAGUCAACUAAUUACUUUUUCUACUGUAUAAAAGAGCCUUGAAGCAGGUGAAGAUGGUUAUGCCUGCUUCUAAGGGCAAUUUAGUCUUUCACUAAAAGUGUACUGUCAUCAAAAGUAGCCACUCCUGAUGACACAUAUCAUUUUUGUUGCUACCGUUUUUCUUCUUCUCUGUUUGUCCAUAUCUUUUUCAUAUUCAUUUGCUUCGACUAUUUCCAAAAGCUACAAGUGAAUUUUCUGAAAUUGUUAGAGCUAGAAAUUCUUGAAUGUGAAAUUGGGUUUUGGCUGGCUAUUUUUAAGCUUCAUUUGCUCUAUUCAAGGUAAUUUUAUGGUUCAGAUAAAACCACAAUUGAAAAACCUAAAUCAAUUGAAGUCAGUAGCUAUUUAGAAUCCUGUAAAUUGUUCAUUUCUUGGUGCUUUGAGUUAUUGGUUUGUGUGAGUCUUUUGCAUCUGUGGUUUAAGAGAAAAAUUUGAGUAUAAUCUCUCAACUGUGUUAACUUUUUAUGUACAAUUUACCGAAAAACUAAGUCUCGAAAUUUUGCUACUCAUAUUUGAAAAUAGAUAUCGGUAAUUCUCUGUGUGAUUUAGAAAUUUAUUGUCUGGUUGAACUUUUGCCCUUUAGGUGUUUGUGGAAAUUCUCCAACGAAGCAGCCUACUCUCCGAAGAUUAAUUUUUUUUUGAGGUUUUAAGAACUUUUAUUUAAGUAAAUUCCAAAAGUGACUCUUAAUUUGAGGUUAUAUUUUUCUUAAUUUGACUCUAAUAGAUGUUUCUUGUGAUCUUGAAGUAGAUGUUAAUAGUGAAGAAAUCUUUAUGGUAGAUAAGGUAAAUUUUCUUUUCUUUUUCUAUCUUUUUUAUUUUAGUUUUUGGUUUUUCUCUUUUGUCUUUGUAAAUAACAACAAAUAAUUUGUUAAUUUUUACUCCCUCUUUCAUUUUUGUUUCUUUGUCCAGAUUGUUGUUUUCUCAAUUAAUGUUAUUCUGUUUCUUUUUCUAAUUCUCUAAUCUUAGCUCUCUUCUUUUAUCCUCUUUCUUGUCCAAGUUUUAUAUGCAAAAUUGUUUCUUUUCCUUUCAUAAUAGUGUUGAACGGAAGCCUCGGAGUAAUUAAUAAAGUUGUCAUGAUCAAGAGGUAAUAAUAGGUUUCAAUCAUGGAGAAAAGGUUAAGAAGUUUCUGGAAGCAGCUUAUUUUGGGGAUGUUGAGCUAUUCAAGAGUAAGUUUUAGGUUUCCCAAAUCGUAACAUUGCAUGCAAUAGGCUCUUGUGGUUCGGCCUUUCCUUGCAGUAACCCGGGGUUUCCGUUUAUGCGAUAUGGUAAUUUGAUGAUUGUGAAAAAGAAUUGCCAAAGAAAGUGGAUAAUGGGAAAGGGUUGGCUGCUACGGUGGCGGAUGUGAAGGAUGCUAACAAAAGAGGGGCAUUGAUUUUUGCCACUAGGGAAUGCAAGACUGACCUGUGCAAGUACUCAGUGAAAGAGUUGAAGAUUGAUGUCAAUGAAAAAGAUGAGAAAGAUUACACAGUGAAACUUUUUGUGGAACACGAAACUACUGCACGAUUGAGGGAUUCUCAAUUCAUUUUCCCCCAAAGACCAUGUAUUGGUAUUUUACUAGCACUUUGUUAUUGCUUACUUCAAUUACCUUGCUCCUAGGACGUAUAAAUUUGUUGGCUGUAUAGAAGAUUCAUCAUUUCUUGAAGUCUUGUUAUUGACAUUUGGCUUUGAUGAUGAAUUUGUGUAAAACAUAUAUCUAUUUUCCAUGUACCAAGGACAUACAUUCAGGAAAAGGACCAGAUAUCUAUUUUUCCUAUUUUUCUUUGAACUUGUAAAAACAAGGGAAGAUGGAUAUCCUAAAUACAAGUUAGUUUUUCA